UACGGGAGGCAGCAGUGGGGAAUAUUGCACAAUGGGCGCAAGCCUGAUGCAGCCAUGCCGCGUGUAUGAAGAAGGCCUUCGGGUUGUAAAGUACUUUCAGUCGUGAGGAAGGUGUUAAGGUUAAUAACCUUAGCAAUUGACGUUAGCGACAGAAGAAGCACCGGCUAACUCCGUGCCAGCAGCCGCGGUAAUACGGAGGGUGCGAGCGUUAAUCGGAAUUACUGGGCGUAAAGGGCACGCAGGCGGUUAAUUAAGUUGGAUGUGAAAUCCCCGGGCUUAACCUGGGAAUGGCAUUCAAGACUGGUUAGCUAGAGUCUUGUAGAGGGGGUAGAAUUCCAUGUGUGGCGGUGAAAUGCGUAGAGAUGUGGAGGAAUACCGGUGGCGAAGGCGGCCCCUGGACAAAGACUGACGCUCAUGUGCGAAAGCGUGGGGAGCAAACAGGGAUUAGAUACC
rnacentral:rRNA from 1 species